UUGAGCAUUUUGACUUUUUUGCCAUCCACUAGAGGGCGCGUGCUGUAUUGUUCCGUUUUUUACCGGAAAGGAAGCCAUUUUCUCUACUUUCUGGUAAGGUAAGACAUGCGGUGUGGUUGUUCUUUGUGUAAUCUUAAUAAUCUGUAUCAUAUUUAACGUUUUUAGGCCAGUUUAAGUUGUCUUUUUGUCUUUUUGAAUAUUUUGUGGUUGUAUUUUGUGAUUAAUUGUAUAAAGACAGCGUUUUGUUAUAGUGAUAAAUUAUUCUUAUUCAUCUGGCCAGCAUUUUGAUUAGAACAAGAAAUAAGUUAUUGUUGAAACAUGUUUGGUGUUGUGGUUGUUCUUAUUAGUUUAAAAGUUAAGUUAAAUUAGUUAAUUUUUAUUAGUUCAAAUUUCGAUUCCUCUUAUCGUUUCCUUUGUGAGCAUUUCAAUAUGAGUUUAUACAAUAAAAGUGCAAGACGACUUUUUUGUGCUGCCUCGUGCGCUGUUUUCUAUGCACAUUGAAGCGCAGUCACAGAAAAUUUGAUUUGUAAAAUUGAUAUUAAACUCAAACUAGAGCUGUUUUCUAUGAUGUAGUCUAUCUACAUGUGAAGUACGUGAGCGCGAGACGGCUCGCGCGGUGUCUUCAGUGCUACAGGCGUAUUGGCCAAGUCUUAAAGUGACAGGAGCGGCUGUCUCUAUAAUAACAGUAUUCAAAGGACAAAGAGAAAAUUCACUCGUUCUUGACUAAAUAACUUUUGUAACUGUUUUUGUACCUUAUUUAUAAAAACUGUACUGUUAUUUUACACUUGAAUUACAGCUUUUUGUACCUGAAUACCUGAAAAUCUUAAAACACUGUUUAUUUCAAUCAUAUAUUUGUUCAGUUUUAUCUAUAUUUGCAAUUGGUAAUUUUUUAUUUGUUCUCUUUUAAUUAUUGAGUGUUUACUUAUCUUUAUUAAUGUUUUAAUGUAUAUUUUGUUAGGCUAGUUGUUUUACUAUGGUAUUUUUAAACCACAGGCAGAAUUUAUUGGUAAGCACAUAAAAUUGGCAAUCGUUAAAAUUUAAACCAUGGUAUAAUAUACACUGCGGUAUAUGCUUGGUGUUAAAAUGUUAGUGCUCGUAAUGAUCAUAAUCAGCUCAUGAUUCCGAAUUAGAUCUGUGCAUGAGGUUUUAAAAGUGUCAGUUCCUUAAUACUCUUUCUGUAGUUUAUGUCCUUGAGAUAAAGUAAAAAAGUUGCUGCUCUUGGCACUUAAGUAGUUGAAAUAAAUAUCAAUGUAUAUUUAAUUCAUGCAUGCACAGAUUACAAUUCUAUUAAGACUUUCAUUCUAUUGUUAUAUUAACUGAUACUGAAAGUAAGGUAAUUUUUGUUGUAUUUUUUUGUAAUUUGCUUGUAUUGUGAAAAAAUUAAAAAUCUAGUAGUCGAUAUAAAAAAUCUAGUAGUCAGUUCGAGACUACAGAGAAAAAAAAUGUGUGAAAUACACUGUGUUCUCUUUGGUUGAGUGUUCAUUGACUGAAGACUGUCUCUGAGAACUUGCGAGUACAUUAUAGUUUAAAAUCGCUUAAAUUUGUAAAUUGGUAUGAUGUAAAAUGAUGUGCCAUAGAGUCAUGUGGAUACUAUGAAGCCAGUUGUGCAUUCUGAGCGUACAAUAUAUAAAAUAUAUAAUAUUUUUGUAAAAUGUAAUGCUUUUGUUUUAAUCAAAUUGUUGUUGUUGUUAUUUUUUUGCAGAAUACUGAGAAACUUGAUUUUGAGAUGCCUCGCACAAAGCAAGCCCGGCGCUCCCAGGCCGCAAAGAAGAGGAUGGCAGACCGGAUGGCUGCUGAUCCUGAAGAGGCUCUGCCACCUCUUAAAAAAUUGGCAGAAGUAACAGAACGUUGUGUACAUCACAACGGGGAUAUAAAACUGGGUCAUAACAGUGGUCAUAACCGUGGUCAUAACCUUGGGCUAACAAGUGGUCAAACAAGUGGUCAAACAAGUGGUCAAACAAGUGGUCUAACAAGUGGUCAAACAAGUGGUCAAACAAGUGGUCAAACAAGUGGUCAAACAAGUGGUCAAACAAGCGGUCUAACAAGCGGUCUAACAAGUGGUCUAAACAAUGAUGCUAAAAACACGGAUCAUAAAAGUACUGUUAACAUGACCAUGAAAGCUGUUUCUGAUUUGUGUCCACAGAAAUCGUACAUCAGUGGCUCUUUCCAUCAAGGAGAUUACCGUUUUGGCCGGAAUAGGGGAAGUCAAUGUGGUGCAAACUGUUUAACUGCAAUUUUGAUGAGUAAGAUGAAAAAUGUGUUGCAGUGGACGAGAAAUGACCUGGAUGCUGUUCUGAUCCAUGGAGAUGACCUGUACAGUGCCAUGAGAGACGCAGGGAAAAUCAACGAUCCUGAAUCCGGCUUCAUAGCUGUUCAUGAGCUACCAGACACACACACACUUAAAGAUAGUCGGUUUUCAAUAAACUAUGGUGAAACAUUGA